ACUUGUCGCACAAUGCCCUUGUUGGCCAAAUCCCAUCAGCUCUAGGCAACAUCUCACAUCUGGAAUCCUUAGACCUUUCAGAUAACAAACUUACUGGAGAAAUUCCUCAGCAGCUUGCAGACUUAACAUUUCUUUCAGUCCUGAACCUCUCAUACAACAAGCUAGUCGGAAAGAUUCCAACAAGUACUCAACUCCAAUCAUUUUCAGCAUCUUCCUUCGCAAAUAAUAAAGGAUUAUGCGGACCUCCAUUGACAAAAACAUGUACAAAUAUCAGUACCGUGUCUGAUUUUCCGCCGAUACAUGGAGCAGAGAUCAAAUGGAAUUACUUGAGUAUUGAACUAGGAUACAUCUUCGGCUUAGGAAUUGUUGUUCUGCCUCUGAUGUUGUGGAAGCGCUGGAGAAUAUGUUAUUACAAACACAUUGAUGGGAUUAUUGUCAAGAUGUUCCCCAAGCUAGGUGACAGAACAAGGAACCAGAGGAAGAGAUGCUAACAAUUCUGAAGAGGACCAAUGCAGCCAGAAAAUGCAAUUUGUAACAAAUUCAUCUCUCCUUUUUUCAAUAUAAAGGUAAGCAACGCCUUUAGGACAUUACUUAGAACUGCGUCAUAAUCGCCAACAGCAUUCUGCCCGUUAACCAAGAUUUUCCUUUCUGUUAUUUUAUUAUUGAUAUUUUUUCGUUCCAAUUUUAUUAUGGUUCGUGGUAAAGAGUUAAAAUCGAAAUCAAACUUUCCAUUCUUUGAUUUUUAAGAAUCAUAGAACUAAAUUUUAGUAUGUUACGAUAAUGUUCUAAAUAAUUUUGGUAUGGUUUUGAUUCUAUUUUAGUUUUCUUUUAACUUUAAUUUUAAUUUUUAAGAAUCAUAGAACUAAAUUUUGGUAUAUUCCGAUAUCGUUCUAAAUAAUUUUGGUAUAGUUUUGAUUUUAUUUUAGGUUUUUUUAAUUUUAAUUUUAAUUUUAAUAUUAGUUGAAAUGUUAAUUUUUAUAAAUAAAAUUAUAAUAUUUUUACAUUUAUUUUAAAACGGUAAAUAACUAAUAUUAAAAUAAUAAUAAAAAUAAUAAUUUAAACAUUUAAAUAAUAAUAAUAUCAAUAUUAAUCUAUACUUCAUAAAAUUCUCAAUAAAAUUAUUAUAUUAUUUUAUAUAUAAUUAUUAAUUAUAUAUUUUUUAUAAAAAAUGUUAAAAACUAUAAAGUGAUUAAUAUAUUUAUAGUUGAAAUAAUAUAUAUAUAUAUAUAAUAAAUUAUAAUUAAUUAAUUAAAUUAUUUAAAUUAUAUUGUUAAAAAAUUUUAAUAAUUAAUUAGAUUAUAUAAUUAUUUUAUAAUAUUUUUAGUAACUAUUUAAUAGUUAAAAUAAAACUCAUAUUUACAUAAUUUAACUUAUAAAAAUAAUUACAUAAUAUUAAAUAUAGAAAUAAUUAUAAGAGAGUGUAUAUACACACAUAAUAAACUAAAUUUUUAUUAAAUUUGAAAUAAAACUCAAAUAAUUAUUUUAUUUAUAUCUUUAUUUAUUUAUGAUUUUUUAAUAUAUAUUAUUUAAUAAUUUAUAAAAUUUAAAUUUAAAUUCAUUAAAUAAAAUUCUAUAAUUUUAAUAAUAUAAAUUAUAAAAUUAUAUUAAAACUAUAUAAAAUAUAUUGCCUCAAAAUUAUAUAAAACUGAUUUUUCGGUACGAUUUGAAUUUUUUGAAUUUAAUUCAAAAAAAUUAAAUAAUUAAAUAAAUUCAAUUCAAUACAAUUUGAUUUGAUUUUUUUUGAAAUGGAAAAUUGGACAUUGAAUGAAUAAAAUUUAAUAUCUCUUAUAUUUGUUCAGAUACAUUUUAUUACUGAAUUAAGUUGUGAGUGCGUGUAGAUAAAAUAUUAAUUUGAUUAAUUUUGGUUAAAUUCUUUUUUUUAAAAUCAAAUUACUUUAUUUUAAAAUUAAUUUUAAAUUUAAAAUUAAUUUUUUUUUAAUUUAAAUCAAAUAGUAUCCACCGUUAGUCUUCUCUUAUUCUUUAAAGAAAGUUGUCAAGCUUGCCGGACAACUGAUUUUGUCGGUCCUCAGUUCGAAGUGUAGAGAAGAAGAAAAGGAAGAGGAAAGGAGAAUUGUCACUGAGGAAGGAUUAUGAGAGAGAGGAAAGUAGGAAAAAGAGUGAUUAUAAAGAUAAUAAUAUAAUAAUAUAUAUAAAUCAAAUAAAAAUAAAAAAUAAAAAAAAAUAUUUGCAACUAUUAGAUAAUUAAUCUACAUCAAUAUUACUUUGACACGUAGUGAGAUUUUAUAGUACCCUGUUUAAAAAGUUACAUAGUUAUAUUAAUUCCAAUUUUGUAAAAUUUAGGUGUGUUAAUAAAUAUUCUAAAAGUUAAGGGUAUUACCAAAUCUUAAUAGUGAAAUUGUGUUUAGCCGUGUGAAUUUUCUUGAUUAGUUUUUUAUUUCUUUUCUUCUCUUCCUAAACAAAUUAGAUUCUGAAAUCAAAUUUAUAAUAAAGUACUUUUUAAUUAUAUCUUCAAAAAAAAUUAUUAUAAUUAUAGAUCCCAUUUAGAAAUAACAAAAUAAUUAUAAAAAUAAUUUGAUUAUCAAAUUUUUCCUGUGAUCCCUCUGUAACUCGAUACUUUUGUAUUUUUUUUUUACUUAAACUUAAUUUUUUCUUUUUCCUUGAACAUGGAAGACGAUCUGCGUCAAUUAACUAUCGUAAUGGCUCAUUCCGUUAAAAGUCAGGAUAACCGAAAUAAUAAUCGUCCUAUAUUGAAACUGCCGAUAACUCGAUAAUUCUCGGAUAAGUAAUGGUACGUCAGUAAUUAUUGAAGUUUUAGUUUGCUGUUUGCGACAGAAUUUUUACCUUUUAAUGACUGCAUUCUUAUUAACUGUCUAUAGGUGGUUCAACCUCUUUAGUCUCCACAUUUAAACAUUUUUGAACUGAAUUUGAUUUUAAUGACGGCAUUCUUAUGAACUGUCUAUAGGUGGUUCAAUCUCUUUAGUUUCCACAUAUAAACAUUUCUGAAUUGGAUUUGAUUUUGAAUGAUUGUAAAUUUUUAUUAGAAUCUAAAAUUGAUAUUUCUGUUAGAUAGAUUCGUCGUCGUGCCACUCUAACGGCUCAUAUUUUAGCUAGAAAAUCUAUUAAGUAUGAUUGUUUUUCUGUUUGAUAAUAUCUCUUUAAUAAAAUUUUAUUAAUACAACUACUAAUUUUGCUUUAAAAAAAAUUCCAUUUAAAAAAUUAUAAAUUAUAAACAACGAGUAAUUAAUCUAUGAAACCCAAUCUUUUUGUGGUUAAAUAACUGAAAAAAAAAUUACAAAAUUAACGUAAAAUGAAAACAAAAUGUCAAACUAGUGUAUUAGAGAAAAAGGUACAAAAGAGACAAUAAAAUACAACUAUUAGCGAUAUUUUUUAUUAAAAAAAAUAAAUAUUUAUUCUUUUAAAUUAACUGUUAUUCAUAAAAAAAAAAAGUAAAUUUUGAUUCCUCAAUUUCAAUUUUAUUAAUUUUUAAUAUAUAUCAAAAUAUUUUGUAGCGGUGUUACAUUAAAUACUUUAUCUGCAAUAUAAACCUCUAAAUCUUUAAAUUUUAAAUUUUUUAAUUUUUAAUAUAUUAAAAUAUUUAUAAUAAUUUUUUAUUAAAUAUUUUCUUCAUUUGGCUGACUCAAACUCUUAACUUCUAAAUUUAUUAUUUUUAAUUUAUAUCAAUAUAUUUUAUUACAACCUUAUAUUAAAUAAUUUUUUUAAUUCUAUUAAGAUAAAAAUUAUUUUUAUAAAAUUUAUAUAAUAUUUUUUAAAUAAAAAAAAUUUAGACAACUAAAUUAUUAUAAUCUAACGAUAAAUUUUAAUGAAAUAAUUAUUCUUGAACAUAAUAAAAUUUUAGAAACUAAAUUUUUUACAUUAUACAACAGUAUUACAUUAAAAAACUUUUAACAUAUUAAUAUAUAAUUUAACUUAAGUGUUUGUAUUUUAUUUUAUUUUUCUAUUUUAUACAUUUACAUUUGUAAUAUAUUUUAAAAAAUAUAAGAGCUCAGGUCUAUAUAAAAAAAUAUUAAUAUAAAAUUACUAUAAAUAUUUUAAUAUAAAUUAGAAAUCAUAAAAUUUUGAAUUUAAAAAUUUAGAUAUUUAUAUAAGAUAAAAAAAAUUAAUAUAAAAUAUCUUGAUAUAUAUUAAAAAUUAGAAAAAUUAAAGUUAAAAAUUUAGAAUAUAGUAAAUUUAAGAGAAUAAUAUUAUAUAUACAUAUAAUACCUUACCACCCUUUAAGGUGCGGUAAGGUAUCAACUCUCUUUUUAUUUUUUAUUUUUAUUUUUUUAAGUACUCUACUUUAUAAGAACAAUAUUUUUUUAAUUUUUUUAAAAAUUUUACUGCACUUAUAAAUUUAAGUUAAUUUAAAAAAUAACUUUUUUCAUAAUAGAGUUUAAUACCUCCUAGAUUCACAGAUAACAACAGUUCCCGGCCAUGAAGGCGGAGGAAAAAUACCGGCAAAACUACUACUUGACCUCUUUUGUCUUUGGGUUUCUGUCACUUAAUUCUCUCUAAGCAAUAGUUUUUAUAAAAUAGGAAAAACACAUUUCAAGGAGCUCAGUUCUACAAAACCAAUUUUCAAGCAUUGAAUUUAAUUAGUUUAAACUCUUAAUUGUCGGUUCUCAAUGUUUUCUCCAGUCUUUUGUGAUUUAUCUUUACUUUAUUUAUUUGUUUAAUAUUGUCUUUAUAUUAAUUUUUUUUUUAAUAUAAAUUCAAAGUUUUCCUUGAAUGAAAUUUUUAUUAAUAAUUCAAUUAAGGAAAAUAAAAAAACAUAAAUAAAUGUUAAUAGUAAAAAGGGCAAAAAAAAAAAAGGAAAAUAAAAUCAGUUGACUCGCAAGUCAGGCGAAGGUCUAUGAUAUUCUCUCGUAAUUGCGCCACAGAGUCUUGGUCUUCUGUCAUCUGUGGCAAUGCCGUUUCCACCACGUCCAUCGACUAGGAUCUUCGAGUUAUUACCACACAAUUUUUCCUUUUUUUUUUUUUUUUUAUAAUAAUAUUCUCAUACAAAUUAUUAUUUUUCUAUUUCGGUUUAUAACAGUUUAAAUUAUUUUUAUAAACAUAUUUGUUUACUGUUCUACUCUGAUGCUGCUAAAUUAAAACUGAUCCUUUCAUGUUGAUGUUCUACUUAUAUAAGAUAACAACCCAAUUGAUCAACUCAUCCAUUUUCAAUAUUUUUCAUUUGCAUGGCUGUUUGUAAUCGUCUCCAAAUUAAAAUUCCUAUUUUUUUUUUGUGGUUUUCGUUGCUGCUGCCCCUGUCAAAUUUGUUCUUUGGCAUCCAUGCAUCUUUGGCUUCUGGCGUAUGCCUAAGCGAUCAACGAUCCUUGUUAAUGCAAUUACAUUCGAGCCUCGUCUUCAAUGGCAUUACUUCCACAAAGCUGGUGAGAUGGAAUUUCAGUGCAGAUUGCUGUGAGUGGGCUGGUGUAACCUGUGAUGGUGGCGGUCUGGGUCGCGUUAUUGGCCUCAAUUUGAACGAUGAAUCAAUUUCCGGCGGACUUGAGAAUUCAAAUGCACUCUUCAGCCUUCAAUAUCUCCAGAAUCUAGAUUUGUCUUUCAACAAUUUCAACACAAGUAUACCACAGAGUUUUGCCAACCUCUCAAAUUUGGUUUCUCUGAAUUUGUCCAACGCUGGUUUUGUGGGUCAAAUUCCAGUUGCGAUUUCACGCAUGACAACGUUGGUCACACUUGAUUUGUCUUCUAGGCUUUAUUACUUGGGACAUCGUUCGCUGAACCUUGAGAAUCCAAAUCUCGCAAUGCUAGUUUUAAAUCUCAACAGGCUCAUAGAACUCCAUCUUGAUGGUGUAAAUAUAUCCUCACAUGGGAACGAGUGGUGCAGAGCCUUAUCGUCUUCACUGCCUAAUCUGCAAGUAUUGAGCUUGUGCAAUUGUUUUCUUUCAGGCCCUAUUGAUUCUUCCCUCGUAAAGCUUCCGUCUUUGUCAGUAAUUCGUUUGAACGGCAACAAUUUAUCUGCCCCAGUUCCAGAAUUCUUCGCAAAUUUCUCCAAUUUGAAGAUCUUGAGCCUCAGUGAUUGCAGUUUGCAAGGAAAGUUUCCUCCAGACGUAUUCCAGGUACCAACACUUGAGAUUCUGGACUUAUCAUACAACAUAGAGCUGUGGGGAUCCUUGCCAGAUGAUUUGCAGAAGUCCUCUCUUAAGACCUUGGUGCUUAGCAACACAAAUUACUCAGGGAGCCUACCGGAUUCCAUCGGCACACUUGGGAAUUUGUCCAGAAUAGAGCUUGCAGCUUGCAAAUUCAAUGGAUUGAUUCCGAUGUCAAUCGCCAAGCUCACUGAACUCGUCUAUUUAGACUUCUCAUCUAACUCGUUCAGUGGCCCAAUCCCAUCAUUUAGCAGGUCCAAGCAACUCGUGUAUAUAGACUUCUCUCACAAUCAAUUGUCUGGUGAGAUUCUGUCCACUCACUUCGAAGGCCUUUGGAAUCUUCUCUAUAUCGACUUGAGGUUUAAUUCACUUAGUGGGAGCAUUCCUCCAUCUCUGUUCGCAAUCCCAUCGCUGCAGAAGAUUCAGCUUUCCUUCAACCAAUUUACGGGUCAACUUCCUGAAUUCUCAGGUGCGUCAUCUUCUUCUCUGGAUGCCCUGGAUUUGAGCAGCAAUAAACUAGAAGGUCCCAUUCCCAUUUCAAUAUUUGACAUCAAAAGACUCCAUGUCCUUCUACUUUCAUCCAACAAAUUCAAUGGCACCAUACAACUAGACAGGAUUCAGAAGCUUAGAGACCUCCACGGGAUUGAUCUUUCAUACAACAAUUUGACAGUGGAAAAUGCUAGCAAAUCGACCUCAAGUUCCUUUCCCCAGAUCAGCACAUUAAAACUGGCUUCUUGCAAGUUGCGUAUGUUUCCAAAUCUGAGCAACCAGUCAAAAUUAACAUUGUUGGACUUGUCAGACAACCAAAUCACUGGGGUAGUUCCUAGUUGGAUUUGGGAAGUUGGUAGUGGAUCUCUCCUCUAUCUGAAUCUUUCACAUAAUCUCUUGGAGGAUUUGGAACAACCUCACUGUGCUCCCAAUCUUGCUGUUCUGGACCUACAUUACAACCGGCUCAAAGGGCAGAUUCCAACUUUUCCGCCAUUUGCUACUUAUGUGGAUUACUCGAGCAAUAACUUUACUUCUGUCAUACCAGACAACUUUGGAACUAACCUCUCAUCAAUGGCUAUUUUUUUAUCCCUUUCAAACAACAGCCUCACAGGCGUUAUACCAGAGUCGAUAUGCAAUGCUACUUUUCUUCAAGUUCUUGACUUGUCCGACAAUGGCUUGAAUGGUAGAAUCCCAUCCUGUCUAAUUGAGAGGAGUAAGAAUCUUGGCGUUUUGAAUUUAAGGAAAAACAACUUCGGUGGCAACAUUCAAGACAAUUUUCCGGCAAAUUGCCAUUUGAAAACUCUAGAUAUGAGUCGGAAUCUAUUGGAGGGGAAGGUACCACAAUCUUUGAUCAAUUGCAACACGUUAGAGGUUUUAGACCUUGGAAGCAAUAAAUUCAAUGAUACUUUCCCAUGUCUUCUGAGGAACAUGUCCAGUUUGCGAGUUCUUGUUUUACGAGAUAACAAUUUUUAUGGGAACAUAUCAUGUACACGGACAGAUGUCAAAUGGACAAACCUUCAGAUUGUUGACAUAGCUUCCAACAAUUUUAGUGGUAGACUACCAAAUACCAUCCUAUCUAGUUGGAAAGCAAUGAUGGGAGGUGGAAAUGAAACUCAUGAUUACCUGAAAUUCGAAGUUCUGCGGCUUAGCCAACUGUAUUAUCAAGAUUCAAUAACAGUUAUCAGCAAAGGCCUUGAGAUGAAUUUGGUGAAGAUCCUAACAAUCUUCACAUACAUUGAUGUGUCUCACAACAAAUUUGAAGGGCUAAUACCAGAAAAUUUAGGGCAGUUAAAUUCACUUAUUGUUCUCAACUUGUCGCACAAUGCUCUUGUUGGCCAAAUCCCAUCAGCUUUAGGCAGCAUCUCACAGCUGGAGUCCUUAGACCUUUCGGAUAACAAACUUAGUGGAGAAAUUCCUCAGCAGCUUGCAGACCUAACAUUUCUUUCAGUCCUGAACCUCUCAUACAACAAGCUAGUCGGAAAGAUUCCGACAAGUACUCAACUCCAAUCAUUCUCAGCAUCUUCCUUCGCAAAUAAUAAAGGAUUAUUCGGACCUCCAUUGACAAAAACAUGUACAAAUAUCAGUACCGUGUCUGAUUUUCCGCCGAGACAUGGAGCAGAGAUCAAAUGGAAUUACUUGAGUAUUGAACUA
rnacentral:lncRNA from 1 species